rnacentral:tRNA from 1 species
GCGCUUGUAGCUCAAUGGAUAGAGUGUAUGUUUUCUAAGCAGAAAGUUGUAGGUUCAACCCUUACUUGGUGCG